ACUGGGUUUACCCUCUUACCUUAAACAACAAGAGAUGAAAUAUAUUAAAACAUUCAGUGGGGUGUAUGUUUAAGAGACUGGACACAGCUAAAGAGAGAGUUAGUGAGAUGGAAGCUUCACGCCGGCUAGCUGCUCUGCUGGAGCAGAGGAAGUUAAUGUGAUAAUAUCGCGGACGAGGAGGAGGAAGCCUGGGUAGCCUCAGCUCACCCAUAACCUGUGUCCUCGAUAUACGGUUACAUCAAGGAAAGAAGAAAGCUCUGGCUUCUGUCUGCUGAGUUAUUCCCUUCUGAAGUAUGGACAAGGGAGAAGUGGCCUCUGGAACGCUAGCUGUAGCAAGAAGCCAAUGAGAUCAGAAGAAAUGGACGUUUAUGA